AUGGCCCUAUAUUGUUGUACUGUGACAGCACUGGUGCCAUUGCUGAAGCGAAGAAAUCAAAGUCACAUCAGCACAUCAAACAUAUUCUGCGUUGCUACCACCUGGUGUGGGAGAUCAUGGAUCGAAGUUACAUCGAGUUUUAGAAGAUCGAUGAAAGGGAGAAUCUGACCGACCCAUUUACUAAACCCCUCAGUAUCAAGGAGUUCAAAGAUCAUAAACUGAAGAUGGAUAUAC
rnacentral:lncRNA from 1 species